rnacentral:rRNA from 1 species
CGGGUGAGUAAAGUAUCGGAACGUACCUUUCAGUGGGGGAUAACGUAGCGAAAGUUACGCUAAUACCGCAUAUUCUGUGAGCAGGAAAGCAGGGGAUCGCAAGACCUUGCGCUGAUUGAGCGGCCGAUAUCAGAUUAGCUAGUUGGUGAGGUAAAGGCUCACCAAGGCGACGAUCUGUAGCGGGUCUGAGAGGAUGAUCCGCCACACUGGAACUGAGACACGGUCCAGACUCCUACGGGAGGCAGCAGUGGGGAAUUUUGGACAAUGGGGGCAACCCUGAUCCAGCCAUGCCGCGUGAGUGAAGAAGGCCUUCGGGUUGUAAAGCUCUUUCGGCCGGGAAGAGAUCGUAUGGGUUAAUACCCUGUGCGGAUGACGGUACCGGCAUAAGAAGCACCGGCUAACUACGUGCCAGCAGCCGCGGUAAUACGUAGGGUGCGAGCGUUAAUCGGAAUUACUGGGCGUAAAGCGUGCGCAGGCGGUUUUGUAAGACAGGCGUGAAAUCCCCGGGCUCAACCUGGGAACUGCGCUUGUGACUGCAAGGCUAGAGUAUGGCAGAGGGGGGUGGAAUUCCACGUGUAGCAGUGAAAUGCGUAGAGAUGUGGAGGAACACCAAUGGCGAAGGCAGCCCCCUGGGCCAAUACUGACGCUCAUGCACGAAAGCGUGGGUAGCAAACAGGAUUAGAUACCCUGGUAGUCCACGCCCUAAACGAUGUCAACUAGGUGUUGGGUGGGUAAAACCAUUUAGUACCGGAGCUAACGCGUGAAGUUGACCGCCUGGGGAGUACGGCCGCAAGGUUAAAACUCAAAGGAAUUGACGGGGACCCGCACAAGCGGUGGAUGAUGUGGAUUAAUUCGAUGCAACACGAAAAACCUUACCUACCCUUGACAUGUCCAGGAGCCUGAAGAGAUUUGGGUGUGCCCGAAAGGGAACUGGAACACAGGUGCUGCAUGGCUGUCGUCAGCUCGUGUCGUGAGAUGUUGGGUUAAGUCCCGCAACGAGCGCAACCCUUGUCGUUAAUUGCCAUCAUUUAGUUGGGCACUUUAACGAGACUGCCGGUGACAAACCGGAGGAAGGUGGGGAUGACGUCAAGUCCUCAUGGCCCUUAUGGGUAGGGCUUCACACGUCAUACAAUGGUCGGUACAAAGGGUUGCCAACCCGCGAGGGGGAGCCAAUCCCAGAAAGCCGAUCGUAGUCCGGAUCGCAGGCUGCAACUCGCCUGCGUGAAGUCGGAAUCGCUAGUAAUCGUGGAUCAGCAUGUCACGGUGAAUACGUUCCCGGGUCUUGUGCACACCGCCCGCCACACCAUGGGAGCGGGUUCCGCCAGAAGUAGGUAGCCUAACCGCAAGGGGGGCGCCUACCACGGCGGGGUUCGUGACUGGGGUGAAGUCGUAACAAGGUA